UACGAAGGGGGCUAGCGUUGCUCGGAAUCACUGGGCGUAAAGGGUGCGUAGGCGGGUCUUUAAGUCAGGGGUGAAAUCCUGGAGCUCAACUCCAGAACUGCCUUUGAUACUGAGGAUCUUGAGUUCGGGAGAGGUGAGUGGAACUGCGAGUGUAGAGGUGAAAUUCGUAGAUAUUCGGAGGAACACCAGUGGCGAAGGCGGCUCACUGGUCCGGUACUGACGCUGAGGUGCGAAAGCGUGGGGAGCAAACAGG
rnacentral:rRNA from 1 species